rfam:Salmo salar isolate Sally breed double haploid chromosome ssa19, whole genome shotgun sequence.
GCAUUUGUAGCUCAGUUGGUAGAGCAUGAUGUUUGCAACGCCAGGGUUGUGGGUUCGUUUCCCACAGGGGGCC